AGCUGCAAGAAGAGAAGGCAGUGCUACGUGCUGAACGACAUCUUCCAGAGAAAAGCACUGCCGGGCAAUCAGUAUGGCAAUGAAAGUGGCCAGGGAAUCGUGGAAUGACAGGUCACUCACAUCCACGCUGCAGAGCAGAUCAUUGAAACCCCACACGUGAUUGGAAGAGCAGCAAAGAGCUUUGACAACCCCCAGCCACUCCGAG
rnacentral:lncRNA from 1 species